rnacentral:rRNA from 1 species
ACCCUAGUCCGACUUUGUGAAAUGACUUGAAAGGUGUAGGAUAAGAGGGAGCCAAAAGGCGAAAGUAAAAUACCACCACUUUUAACAUUAUUUUACUUAUACCGUGAAUCGGAGGUGGGGCACUGCCCCUCUUUUUAGACCCAAGGCUCGCUUCACGGGCUGAUCUGAGCGAAAGACAUUAUAAGGUGAGGAGGUUGGCUGAGGCGGCACAUUUGCUAAAAGUUAAUGCAGGUGUCCUCAACGAGAACAGAAAUUUCGUGUGGAACUGAAGGGUAAACGCUCAUUUGAUUCUGAUUUCCAGUAGAAUACAAACCGUGAAAGCGUGGUUUAGGGUUUAGGUUUUUUUUUUUAAAAUAAAGACAUCCACAC